CUGCCGGGAUGAGUCUAACCCUUGAACUCUCUCUUGCUGAUGAGCUGGUGGAGAAAUCCUCGAUAAUUCUGAGUAGC